CUACGGGAGGCUGCAGUCAAGAAUCUUCCUCAAUGGCCGAAAGGCUGAAGGAGCGACGCCGCGUGCAUGAAGAAGCCCUUCGGGGUGUAAAAUGCUUUUAACUGGGAAAAACGUUGAUGGUACCAGUUGAAUAAGGGGCUGCUAACCUCGUGCCAGCAGCAGCGGUAAUACGAGGGCCCCAAGCGUUAUCCGGAUUUAUUGGGCGUAAAGGGUCCGUAGGCGGUUUUUCGCAUCUCCUGUUAAAUCCUGAGGCUCAACCUCGGGGCCGCGGGAGAGAUGGAUAAACUAGAGGCCGGAAGAGGCAAGCGGAAUUGCCGGUGUAGGGGUUAAAUCCGUUAAUAUCGGCAGGAACACCAGAUGCGGAGGCAGCUUGCUAGAACGGUCCUGACGCUAAGGGACGAAAGCGUGGGUAGCGAAUGGGAUUAGAUACCCCCGUAGUC
rnacentral:rRNA from 1 species